GAAAGAGAGCUUGCUAUUACAUUUUCUGAGUAGUCGAAGUCUUCAUUCUCAAGAAUCAACUGCAAGGCUCUCAAUUUGUUUUCGGGCUUUUCUGGAGUUGCUCAUUCGCAGGGGAGAUGAAGCAACUCACUCAAACUUUCUUCGGAGACUCUAACCCUUACUCCGCGAACUUCAGAUAUAAGCCCUCCCAUUCCAGUUUUGAGGAAGGCAUAGAACUCACGGACUAAUCC
rnacentral:lncRNA from 1 species